UGGCGGCGUGCCUAACACAUGCAAGUCGAGCGGAGACAGACGGAAAGCUUGCUUUUGUCUGUUUCAGCGGCGGACGGGUGAGUAACGCGUGAGCAACCUGCCUUUAACAGGGGAAUAACGCAUCGAAAGAUGUGCUAAUACCGCAUAAGACCACAGCAUCACAUGGUGCAGGGGUCAAAAGGAGCAAUCCGGUUAAAAGAUGGGCUCGCGUCUGAUUAGCUGGUUGGUGAGACAACAGCCCACCAAGGCGACGAUCGGUAGCCGACCUGAGAGGGUGAUCGGCCACAUUGGAACUGAGAUACGGUCCAGACUCCUACGGGAGGCAGCAGUGGGGAAUAUUGGGCAAUGGGCGAAAAAGCCUGACCCAGCAACGCCGCGUGAGGGAAGAAGGGUUUCGGCUCGUAAACCUCUGUCCUAUGGGACGAAGGAAGUGACGGUACCAUAGGAGGAAGCCCCGGCUAACUACGUGCCAGCCGCCGC
rnacentral:rRNA from 1 species